rnacentral:rRNA from 1 species
CAGCGCCGCGGUAAUACAGAGGGUGCGAGCGUUAAUCGGAUUUACUGGGCGUAAAGCGUGCGUAGGCGGCUUCUUAAGUCGGAUGUGAAAUCCCUGAGCUUAACUUAGGAAUUGCAUUCGAUACUGGGAAGCUAGAGUAUGGGAGAGGAUGGUAGAAUUCCAGGUGUAGCGGUGAAAUGCGUAGAGAUCUGGAGGAAUACCGAUGGCGAAGGCAGCCAUCUGGCCUAAUACUGACGCUGAGGUACGAAAGCAUGGGGAGCAAACAGGAUUAGAUACCCCGGUAGUCCCUGUCUCUUAUACA